UACGUAGGGACCAAGCGUUGUUCGGAAUUACUGGGCGUAAAGGGCUCGUAGGUGGCCAACUAAGUCAGACGUGAAAUCCCUCGGCUUAACCGGGGAACUGCGUCUGAUACUGGAUGGCUUGAGUUUGGGAGAGGGAUGCGGAAUUCCAGGUGUAGCGGUGAAAUGCGUAGAUAUCUGGAGGAACACCGGUGGCGAAGGCGGCAUCCUGGACCAAUACUGACACUGAGGAGCGAAAGCCAGGGGAGCAAACGGG
rnacentral:rRNA from 1 species